rnacentral:rRNA from 1 species
UACGUAGGGUGCGAGCGUUAAUCGGAAUACUGGGCGUAAAGCGUGCGCAGGCGGUCUGCUAAGAGAGAUGUGAAAUCCCCAGGCUUAACCUGGGAACUGCGUCGGAUACUGGAUGGCUUGAAUCCGGGAGAGGGAUGCGGAAUUCCAGGUGUAGCGGUGAAAUGCGUAGAUAUCUGGAGGAACACCGGUGGCGAAGGCGGCAUCCUGGACCGGCAUUGACGCUGAGGAGCGAAAGCCAGGGGAGCAAACGGG